AAACUACAUCAGAUACAUAAUAUAGGUAUUUUUAUAUAGAGGCGUUUUUUGUUGCCAGUGGGAAUUGGUCAUUUUGAGAUGCUUGAGUACUGGGGUUGAUGAGCACGGAUCAAAACAGUCUUCUUACCGAGCUCUGUGUGUCUGUAGAUCAGGGGCGACCAAUCCCGCUCCUGGAGGUCAAUUCCACUCCAGGUUUAUGAGAUUAUGAACUACUUCAGGAUCUGGAUAGAGGGUUCAUUGGUUCAAUGAAACAAUUUAGACCAGGGUUGGAACAAAGACCAGGAGUGGAACCUGUAGCCACCCCUGCUGCAGAGACAUGCAGGUGUAUGUGUGAUUCUCCUUUUCUGUGGUCUUGCAGGUAAUGAGCUCUACAAACGGAGAGCUGAACCCUGAUGACCCUACAGCCGGACACUCCAACGCUCCGAUCACAGCGCCGGCAGAGGUGGAAGUGGCAGACGAUACAAAGUGCUGUUGUUUUUUUAAGAGGAGGAAGAGGAAAGGUCUCCAACGCCAUAAGUAAACCAGAGACGUGAUGCAUUCUGGUCACUGAACAAAAACAUCUCGUUGCUGCACCUAACCUGUGCGCAAAGGAUUGUUCCCUUCCCACCUGCUACAUGGGCAACAAUACUUGUGGUUCCUUUUUUAAAAGAAACAAAAAACAAACACACACCCACACACAACAAAAAUGUAAUGGGGGGAUUGGAGGGGAGGGUGGGGGGGAUGGAAAUGCUGUGAUUUCCGAUGUAUCUUAGCAUCCACACAAGACAUUACCUGUACAAACCCAUCGAACAUGGGCAGGGGAAACGGGAAAACCUGUUCCAUAGAGCUAGUCGUUAUUGUGGGAUCAAGUAAUGAAAUUGAACUGUAUUAAUGAUAACAACAAACAACCCAGAACAAAUCACUGCAAAAAACUGAAGACUUGUGUCUGAAUUGGAAGCUUUUAUGUAAAUUCAUUGUUCUUUUUUCCUUUUAUUAUUGUUGUUGUUUUUUUUUUUUCUAAUUUAAAUUGAAGUUGUGUUCAGUCCUGCCUUGAAGCUGGAAUGAAUCUGCUUGACUUUUCAUGUGCAGUGUUCUGAAAUUGACAUUUUGUUUUGUUUUCUGUCGUCAAUGUGGACGUUGUAGCACAGUCACUGGCCUCGGGUACUGUGGUAAGAACGGGGAUACAAUAGAAAACCUCUCUUAAAAUUGCACUUUUAAAAAAAAUAAAUGAAACACAGUACUGAAUUCUGACAAUAAAGACUGCUCAAGGAAGAUUAAAAAAAAUCACGCUGAUCUCUUUCCAAAGUCAGACAUCACUAAAAA